rnacentral:rRNA from 1 species
CAGCAGUCGCCGCGGUAAUACGGAGGGUGCAAGCGUUAAUCGGAAUUACUGGGCGUAAAGCGCACGCAGGCGGUCUGACAAGUCAGAUGUGAAAUCCCCGGGCUUAACCUGGGAACUGCAUUUGAAACUGUCAGGCUGGAGUCUUGUAGAGGGGGGUGGAAUUCCAGGUGUAGCGGUGAAAUGCGUAGAGAUCUGGAGGAAUACCGGUGGCGAAGGCGGCCCCCUGGACAAAGACUGACGCUCAGGUGCGAAAGCGUGGGGAGCAAACAGGAUUAGAUACCCGCGUAGUCCCUGUCUCUUAUAA